CCAACGGCCCUCUUUAGGGCCACAAUCACUCACGAAUACUCAAAUG
rfam:Ancylostoma ceylanicum strain HY135 Acey_s0001_scaf, whole genome shotgun sequence.